UGGAAAACACAUGUAUUUCCUGGCAGACACUGGCUUCUUACAGCACAUGUUACUCAUGGGCCGUGAUCCUGUUACUUGGGUCUCAAGGAUAAAUUUGGUCUCAGAAAAAA
rnacentral:snoRNA from 1 species